AUGGCUUACUGGCCUAAAGCUCAGUUCUUUAGCCAACCAUGUUCUAGUGUGUGGUUCUCUGGUUUCCAAAAACAGCUUUCUAUCUCUACCGUCCCUUUCAGAUCCACCCAAAUUACAGUUCUGGCUGUGAAAAAGGCUCCGAAGAAUGACUGCAUAGUGGAAAAGGUAGUUUUUGGAAAGGCCAAAGGUAAAAGGGCUUUACUUCUGGAAGCCCCUUCCUGGUGGUAAGACUGAAACAAAGACCCAGAGAACCUGCAUCUGAAUUCUAGAUUUCCAGGGAAGCCCACUUGCCAGAGAGUACUUUGAAAGUGCUAAGUUUAUUUAUGCUCUCCUGCCUGUGUUCAACGACAUGAGUCAAAGGCAUUUACUCAAAUCCUGUAGAGAGAUGGGUCCCACUACCAUACAAUGUGAUGAUCCAAUUUGUCUCCUGUCCAAAAAUAACUGUAUUUGGGGGAUGGUGAGGAAUAUGCUAAGUGUGAUGUCUUUUUAUGGUCACUGCUGAAAUAUGUACAUGGGAC
rnacentral:lncRNA from 1 species